GAGGAGAGAGCAUGAAUAUGUGGUUAACUUGAAAUUAACGGAUGGCAGUUUUAGUCUGUCUUUUCUCG
rnacentral:tRNA from 1 species